AAACCAACUGGGAUUACCUUAGUAACGGCGAGUGAAGCGGUAAAAGCUCAAAUUUGAAAUCUGGUACUUUCAGUGCCCGAGUUGUAAUUUGUAGAAUUUGUCUUUGAUUAGGUCCUUGUCUAUGUUCCUUGGAACAGGACGUCAUAGAGGGUGAGAAUCCCGUUUGGCGAGGAUACCUUUUCUCUGUAAGACUUUUUCGAAGAGUCGAGUUGUUUGGGAAUGCAGCUCAAAGUGGGUGGUAAAUUCCAUCUAAAGCUAAAUAUUGGCGAGAGACCGAUAGCGAACAAGUACAGUGAUGGAAAGAUGAAAAGAACUUUGAAAAGAGAGUGAAAAAGUACGUGAAAUUGUUGAAAGGGAAGGGCAUUUGAUCAGACAUGGUGUUUUUUAAAUGUGCAAGUCUCUCGUGGACAUGUGCCUCUCGAAAUUAACACUGGGCCAACAUCAGUUCUGGCGGCAGGAUAAAUCAUUAAGAAUGUAGCUACCUCGGUAGUGUUAUAGCUUUUUGGAAUACUGCC
rnacentral:rRNA from 1 species